rnacentral:rRNA from 1 species
GACGAACGCUGGCGGCGUGCUUAACACAUGCAAGUCGAACGGUAAGGCCCUGCCUUUGUGGGGUGCUCGAGUGGCGAACGGGUGAGUAACACGUAAGUAACCUGCCCUUGACUUUGGGAUAACUUUAGGAAACUGGGGCUAAUACCGCAUAGGAGUAGAUGUUGCAUGGCGUGGGUUGGAAAGUUUCGGCGGCUGGGGUAGGACGCGGGGCUUAUCAGUAUGUUGGUGAGGUAGUGGCUUACCAAGGCCUUGACGGGUAGCCGGCCUGAGAGGGUGACCGGCCACAGUGGGACUGGGGUAGGACCAAGACGGCUACGGGGGGAAGCAGUGGAAAAUAGUGCGCGAAAGGCGGAAUCCGUAUGCAGCGACGCCGGGUGCGAGAUGACGGCCGUCAGGUUGGAAACCGCGUGCGCCUGUAACGAAGCGUGAGUGACGGUAAUGUAUAAGAAAGCGCCGGCUAACUACGUG